rnacentral:rRNA from 1 species
UACGAGGGAUCCUAGCGUUGUUCGGAAUCAUUGGGCGUAAAGGUGUGUAGGCGGACUUGUAAGUCAGUUGUGAAAGCCCCGGGCUCAACCCGGGAAGUGCUUCUGAUACUGCUUGUCUUGAGUAUUGGAUAGGUGAGUGGAAUUCCAGGUGUAGUGGUGAAAUACGUAGAUAUCUGGAGGAACACCGGCGGCGAAGGCGGCUCACUGGCCAUAUACUGACGCUGAAACACGAAAGCGUGGGUAGCAAACAGG